rnacentral:scRNA from 4 species
CGUCGUACACCCGAGCCUCGUCGUACACCCGAGCCUCGCCGUACACCCGAG